rnacentral:rRNA from 1 species
AUGGUGUCGCUCGCUGCCCCGGCAUUCCACUCGCUGGUCGCGAAAACCUCCAGGGCCUGCACCACGAGGGCGUCUUCGCAACGCGAGAGCGCGCCCGGCCGCCCUGGAGCGAAGGCGCGGCCUCGGGCGGCGGGGACUGCGCAGGCGGCGGCGGUGGAGGCGGAGGAGACCCCGAGGUUCAGGUGGGAUGAGCUCGGGUCCGACCUGUCCGAGCCCCAGGAGCAGGCGAUGCGCGGCCUGUCCCCCAAGCUGCCCAACCGCUGCAGGGCGCUGAUGCCGCGCGUCGUGUCGCUGUCCCCCGGCGAUGAGAAUCUCGGCGUGGUCCUUGCGUUCUGGGUGAAGGCCAUGAAGCCCAAGAGGGCGGACUGGCUGCUGGUCCUCAAGGAGCUCAAGGCUAUGGAGAGCCCGCUUCUCGCUGAGGUACUAGAAUAUGCACUUCUGGAGGAUUCUUUCGAAGCGAAUGUGCGUGACUACACCAAACUGAUGCAAAUCUACGGCAAGCAAAAUCUGUUGCCGGAAGCCGAGGAAGCAUUCCAGGCCAUGAAAGCCAGAGGCCUCCCAUGUGAUCAGGUCAUGCUGACUGCACUGGUGGACAUGUACAGCAAGGCCGGGGAUCUCACCCGCGCAAAGGAAACAUUCGAAGAGAUUGUGUUGCUCGGCCUACCACUCGAUAAGCGGGCAUACGGUUCAAUGAUCAUGGCCUAUAUCAGAGCAGACAUGUUAGACCAAGCAGAAGAUCUGAUCAAACAGACGGAGGAUCAGCAGGUCUUCGCGGGGAAAGAGGUCUACAAGGCUCUCCUGAGAGCAUACUCGUACAAAAGCGAUUCAGAAGGGGCGCAACGAGUCUUCGAUGCGGUACAGUUCGCAGGGACAGUGCCAGACACGAAGCUGUGUGCGCUCCUGGUGAAUGCCUACUGCCUCUCCAAUAGGAUCGACGAGGCCGUCUGUGUGACCCGAAACAUGAGGAGUGCAGGACUGGAACUGUGCGACAGGUGUGUCGCGUUGAUACUCGGCGCGUACGAGAAGGCCAAUAGGCUGGAAGGAGCACUGGAGUUUCUAACGGAGCUCGAAGAGAACGGUGUCGUGAUCGGCCAAGAGCCGUCGCAGCUGCUCGCGGCAUGGUUCGGGAGGCUCGGGGUGGUUCAUGAAGUGGAGCAGGUCCUGGAGGAAGUGAGUAAGAGUAGCAAGAGCAAGCAGAGUGUUUCACUCCUGACGGAAGGGACGAAGAGUAGGAAGAGCAAAGACGGUGUUGAGAAGGAAUGGAGAAAAGGCAGAAAGGGUAAACACAGCAUUUCAGUACACCAACAACCCAGCAUUUCAGUACACCAGCAACCCAGCAUUUCAGUCCAGACGAAAGGGGCAACCAACAGGAAGAGCAAAAUCACUAAGUCCAUUACCUCAGCAACUGAAGUGAUUUUGUAA